UACGAGGGGAGCAAGCGUUGUUCGGAUUUACUGGGCGUAAAGGGCGCGUAGGCGGUCGUGACAAGUCACUUGUGAAAUCUCCGGGCUUAACUCGGAACGGUCAAGUGAUACUGUCGGACUAGAGUACAGAAGGGGCAACUGGAAUUCUCGGUGUAGCGGUGAAAUGCGUAGAUAUCGAGAGGAACACCUGCGGCGAAGGCGGGUUGCUGGGCUGAUACUGACGCUGAGACGCGAAAGCGCGGGGAGCGAACGGG
rnacentral:rRNA from 1 species